rnacentral:rRNA from 1 species
GUGGGGAAUAUUGGACAAUGGGCGCAAGCCUGAUCCAGCCAUGCCGCGUGAGUGAUGAAGGUCUUCGGAUUGUAAAACUCUUUCGCCGGGGAAGAUAAUGACGGUACCCGGAGAAGAAGCUCCGGCUAACUUCGUGCCAGCAGCCGCGGUAAUACGAAGGGAGCUAGCGUUGUUCGGAAUUACUGGGCGUAAAGCGCACGUAGGCGGAUUUUUAAGUCAGGGGUGAAAUCCCAAGGCUCAACCUUGGAACUGCCUUUGAUACUGGAAGUCUCGAGAUCGGGAGAGGUGAGUGGAAUUCCUAGUGUAGAGGUGAAAUUCGUAGAUAUUAGGAAGAACACCAGUGGCGAAGGCGGCUCACUGGCCCGAUACUGACGCUGAGGUGCGAAAGCGUGGGGAGCAAACAGGAUUAGAAACCCGAGUAGUCC